rnacentral:rRNA from 1 species
GAUGAACGCUGGCGGCGUGCCUAAUACAUGCAAGUCGAGCGAACGGACGAGAAGCUUGCUUCUCUGAUGUUAGCGGCGGACGGGUGAGUAACACGUGGAUCACCUACCUAUAAGACUGGGAUAACUUCGGGAAACCGGCGCUAAUACCGGAUGAUAUUUUGAACCGCAUGGUUCAAAAGUGAAAGACGGUCUUGCUGUCACUUAUAGAUGGAUCCGCGCUGCAUUAGCUAGUUGGUAAGGUAACGGCUUACCAAGGCAACGAUGCAUAGCCGACCUGAGAGGGUGAUCGGCCACACUGGAACUGAGACACGGUCCAGACUCCUACGGGAGGCAGCAGUAGGGAAUCUUCCGCAAUGGGCGAAAGCCUGACGGAGCAACGCCGCGUGAGUGAUGAAGGUCUUCGGAUCGUAAAACUCUGUUAUUAGGGAAGAACAUAUGUGUAAGUAACUGUGCACAUCUUGACGGUACCUAAUCAGAAAGCCACGGCUAACUACGUG